rnacentral:rRNA from 1 species
UGGGGAAUAUUGGACAAUGGGCGAAAGCCUGAUCCAGCCAUGCCGCGUGUGUGAAGAAGGUCUUCGGAUUGUAAAGCACUUUAAGUUGGGAGGAAGGGCAUUAACCUAAUACGUUAGUGUUUUGACGUUACCGACAGAAUAAGCACCGGCUAACUCUGUGCCAGCAGCCGCGGUAAUACAGAGGGUGCAAGCGUUAAUCGGAAUUACUGGGCGUAAAGCGCGCGUAGGUGGUUUGUUAAGUUGGAGGUGAAAUCCCCGGGCUCAACCUGGGAACUGCAUUCAAAACUGACUGACUAGAGUAUGGUAGAGGGUGGUGGAAUUUCCUGUGUAGCGGUGAAAUGCGUAGAUAUAGGAAGGAACACCAGUGGCGAAGGCGACCACCUGGACUAAUACUGACACUGAGGUGCGAAAGCGUGGGGAGCAAAUA